UACGGGGGGGGUAAGCGUUGUUCGGAAUUACUGGGCGUAAAGGGCUCGUAGGCGGCCAACUAAGUCAUACGUGAAAUCCCUCAGCUUAACUGGGGAACUGCGUGUGAUACUGGAUGGCUUGGAUUUGGGAGAGGGAUGCGGAAUUCCAGGUGUAGAGGUGAAAUUCGUAGAUAUUAGGAAGAACACCGGUGGCGAAGGCGGCCCACUGGUCCGGUACUGACGCUGAGGUGCGAAAGCGUGGGGAGCAAACAGG
rnacentral:rRNA from 1 species